AAUGAACGCUGGCGGCAUGCCUUACACAUGCAAGUCGAACGGCAGCAUGACCUCGCUUGCUAGGUUGAUGGCGAGUGGCGAACGGGUGAGUAAUGCAUCGGAACGUGCCUUUUAGUGGGGGAUAACGUAGCGAAAGUUACGCUAAUACCGCAUAUUCUCUGAGGAGGAAAGCCGGGGACCUUCGGGCCUUGCGCUAGAAGAGCGGCCGAUGUCGGAUUAGCUAGUUGGUGAGGUAAAGGCUCACCAAGGCAACGAUCCGUAGCGGGUCUGAGAGGAUGAUCCGCCACACUGGGACUGAGACACGGCCCAGACUCCUACGGGAGGCAGCAGUGGGGAAUUUUGGACAAUGGGCGCAAGCCUGAUCCAGCCAUGCCGCGUGAGUGAAGAAGGCCUUCGGGUUGUAAAGCUCUUUCGGCUGGGAAGAAAUCGCACCCUCUAAUACAGGGUGUGGAUGACGGUACCAGCAGAAGAAGCACCGGCUAACUACGUG
rnacentral:rRNA from 1 species